UUCAAAAUCUUUUGUGACUUUCUUUUUUGCCUCUUCAUCAACAUUGUUGCCACCAUAAGCUGAAACAUUAGGUCUUGGUUCAAAAUCUUUCAUGAUUUUUUUCUUUUUCUCUGCACCAACAUUAUUGUCACCAUAAGCUGAAACGUUAGGUCUUGGUUCAAAAUCUUUCAUGACUUUUUUCUUUUCUUUUGCACUAACAUUAUUGUCACCAUAAGCUGAAACGUUAGGUCUUGGUUUAAAAUCUUUCAUGACUUUUUUCUUUUCCUUUGUAUUAACAUCAUCAUCACCAUAAGUUGAAACUUUAGGUAUUGGCUCAAAAUCUUUCAUGAUUUUCUUUUCUUCCACUGCUUCAAUGUCAUUGUCAUUGUAAGAUGAAACAUUGGGUCUUGGAUCAAAAUCUUUCGUGACACUUUUCUUUGGCUUAGCAUCAACAUCAUUGCCACCAUAAGCUGAAACAUUGGGUCUUGGUUCAAAAUCUUUCAUGACAUUUUUCUUUGGCUUAGCAUCAACAUCAUUGCCACCAUAAGCUGAAACAUUGGGUCUUGGUUCAAAAUCUUUCAUGACAUUUUUCUUUGGCUUAACAUCAACAUCAUUGUCACCAUAAGCUGAAACAUUGGGUCUUGGUUCAAAGUCUUUCAUGACAUUUUUCUUUGGCUUAGCAUCAACAUCAUUGUCACCAUAAGCUGAAACAUUGG
rnacentral:lncRNA from 1 species